AACUAAACAGCGCGCCAAUUUUAAAAUUUGCUGUCAUUUCCUCCCAUUGUUGAAAGGAAAAGAUUUCCGAGUAAAAUUGAUGUUGCGUUAUCUUUUUUUGGAUCAGCUGACAAAAAAUUUACUAUUUAUAAAUUAUUAGCUGUUAUAUUGCAUCUAGGCAAUAUUGAUUUCAUUGAAGAUACAGAAGGUUUCGCUGAAAUCGGUGAUUUGAGUUGGGUAACGAAUGCUGCCAAUUUGUUGAAUGUUAAUACUGAGCUACUAAAAUGUGCUUUACUAAGCCGCACAAUAUCACUAAAAAGAAAGAAUGAAGCUGAUAUAGUUGUUCGUUUGAAUAAGUUUGCGGCUGUAAGAGGCAGAGACACCAUGAUUAAAAGUAUAUACAAACGCGUGUUUGAUGUUCUAACGGGAAUGAUCAAUGGG